rnacentral:rRNA from 1 species
GACGAACGCUGGCGGCGUGCUUAACACAUGCAAGUCGAACGGAAAGGCCCUGCUUUUGUGGGGUGCUCGAGUGGCGAACGGGUGAGUAACACGUGAGUAACCUGCCCUUGACUUUGGGAUAACUUCAGGAAACUGGGGCUAAUACCGGAUAGGAGCUCCUGCUGCAUGGUGGGGGUUGGAAAGUUUCGGCGGUUGGGGAUGGACUCGCGGCUUAUCAGCUGGUUGGUGGGGUAGUGGCUUACCAAGGCUUUGACGGGUAGCCGGCCUGUGAGGGUGACCGGCCACAUUGGGACUGCGAUACGGCCCAGACUCCUACGGGAGGCAGCAGUGGGGAAUAUUGCACAAUGGGCGGAAGCCUGAUGCAGCAACGCCGCGUGCGGGAUGACGGCCUUCGGGUUGUAAACCGCUUUCGCCUGUGACGAAGCGUGAGUGACGGUAAUGGGUAAAGAAGCACCGGCUAACUACGUG